AGUUUGGAGGAGCUCUAUAAAGGAUCUAGAAAGAAAAUGAGGAUUUCGCAUUCUGUUCUUGUUGAUUUGGAGUCAGAAAGAGAGGUGAUAGAGUGGUAGACAGGGGUAGGGUUUUUAUUUGAGGGUUUAAAAGUCAUUUUAAGUUUUUUUUUUUUUUAAUGAUGCAAAAUAUGGUAAAGUAACUAGGAAAUUGGCUAUAAUAGGUCACAAGGAGUUUUUCAUUCAUUAAAUUAAAGUGUAGGGAGUUUUACAAAUUGAAGUUUAGGGACCAUAUUGAUGCAACGCCCUAAGUUCAAGCCUUCAGGGACAAUGGUGAAAUUCACCAGUUAUAUGCGCGUGUGCGCAUCCGCACUUAUAUAUGUGUUGUUUGCUUAUUAUUUUACAAGUAUACUUUAUUUUUUCUAGCCAUUUGCUUCUGAUCAUUUCAAUGCCAUAAACCAUCUUAUGUUGUCAUUAAAGGUUUCUGGUUGCACUAUUGCAACAUAUAUGAAAACUUUGGUUCAAUUAUCAUUGCAUUAAUAUUUAUUGCAAUGUCUGUUUUACUUCCAGGCUUUGAUGAUACAAGUAUAUCUUUUGGACCUGUG
rnacentral:misc_RNA from 1 species